UUGUUCCAGAUACUGUGCUAGGUGAUAAAGCUACAUGGUGAACAACAAGAACAGCGAACAAGCAGUGUUUCUAUCAUUGUUAACCUUGCCAGCUCACAGAGGGAAAGCAUUUGUUGAGGACUUAAAAAUUGCGUACCUGUUAAUUUACAAUGGCCGUCAACAUUAUAACAGAGAUUCAGUUUAUUCUCCCAAGUCAGCAAUCAAGGUGAUGGUUCCACUGAGUUCAAGUGCCCAUGCCAAAACCAGCCGCUAUAACAAGAUUCCUCAGUACUUUAUGAAACAACAACUCUCUUUGAAAGAUCUGUCAGAGAAAAAAGUUUAAAAGAUCCCCUCCAGCUUCUUUGAACUGAUGAAACUUCUGUCAUUUGAAGCCACAGUGGAUACAACUUUAUGUGACAGUUUUGAACCUCGGAAUGCAGAUAUUAAGUCUUUCUUUAGUUAUUGCUUCUCCAGGACAUACCUAUUCAGUUUCCUCAAAUGAUUCUAAAAUGAGAAGGCUAGGAAAACCUCCAUGACAUAGCCACCACCCCACCUGACAGGAAAAUGUUUUUUGUUUCAAAAUAUAGGGUCUAGAACUGAAUACUCAAAUGUGAUCGCAUCGACCCUUAUUAAAAUAUGUCUAUUAUUUCCUCAACUUUUAUUUCAUCAAAAAUAUAAAGAGACGUUUGGGGGAUUUUUUGUCUUAACUGCAUGGUAUUUUUAUUUGUAUUGUAUUUGUAAGCAAUAAAAACCUUCAGG
ensembl:lncRNA